rnacentral:rRNA from 1 species
GCAUAUCAAUAAGCGGAGGAAAAGAAACCAACAGGGGAUUGCCCUAGUAACGGCGAGUGAAGCGGCAACAGCUCAAAUUUGAAAUCUGGCGUCUUUGGCGUCCGAGUUGUAAUUUGCAGAGGGCGCUUUGGCAUUGGCAGCGGUCCAAGUUCCUUGGAACAGGACGUCACAGAGGGUGAGAAUCCCGUACGUGGUCGCUAGCCUUUACCGUGUAAAGCCCCUUCGACGAGUCGAGUUGUUUGGGAAUGCAGCUCUAAAUGGGAGGUAAAUUUCUUCUAAAGCUAAAUACUGGCCAGAGACCGAUAGCGCACAAGUAGAGUGAUCGAAAGAUGAAAAGCACUUUGGAAAGAGAGUUAAAAAGCACGUGAAAUUGUUGAAAGGGAAGCGCUUGCAGCCAGACUUGCCUGUAGUUGCUCAUCCGGGUUUCUACCCGGUGCACUCUUCUAUAGGCAGGCCAGCAUCAGUUUGGGCGGUUGGAUAAAGGUCUCUGUCAUGUACCUCCUUUCGGGGAGAACUUAUAGGGGAGACGACAUGCAACCAGCCUGGACUGAGGUCCGCGCAUCUGCUAGGAUGCUGGCGUAAUGGCUGUAAGCGGCCCGUCUUGAAACACGGACCAAGGAGUCUAACAUCUAUGCGAGUGUUUGGGUGUCAAGCCCGAGCGCGUAAUGAAAGUGAACGGAGGUGGGAACCUUUCGGGGUGCACCAUCGACCGAUCCUGAUGUCUUCGGAUGGAUUUGAGUAAGAGCAUAGCUGUUGGGACCCGAAAGAUGGUGAACUAUGCUUGAAUAGGGUGAAGCCAGAGGAAACUCUGGUGGAGGCUCGCAGCGGUUCUGACGUGCAAAUCGAUCGUCAAAUUUGGGCAUAGGGGCGAAAGACUAAUCGAACUAUCUAGUAGCUGGUUCCUGCCG